rnacentral:lncRNA from 13 species
AAGAGGGUAGCUCAAGUUACAGAAAAGGGUGUCUGGUUAGAACUAAGCGCCCUAGGAGAGCAUCAGAGGUGUGAAAGUGGAGAUCAUGUCAAACAACCAGAGACAAGGGUCUUAAUUUGUUCCAAAGGCUGCUAGAAGUACUUUCUGUAUGUCUCCAGCCUACUUCUUCUUCCUUCCAUUUUGCAUCCUUUCUUACCACUCUUUGAAAUAGUGGGUGAAACUUCACCAGCACCAUCCAUUCGGUGACAAAGAGGAUGAUAUUGUGGUGUGCUUCAUCUUGAACCACUCAGCCUCCAGACGCUCUCCUGUAUAGAGAGCACCUGCAGCAGCCCUGUGAAAUAUCACAAUGACCAAACAGGACAAGUCAACAGAAGGAAACGAUGGAAGUGAUGACAAUGAAGAAGGCAGUGCAGUUGAGAAUGAAGAAACUGUCAAAGGAACAGGGAGGAAGAGAGCAACACCAAGAACCAGAAGGGGACGUGCCAGAGGGAGAGAUAGGCAUGGUGAUGAGGAGGAUGAGGAUGAUGAAGAUGGGACAAGGAGAGCUGGGCAUCGCAGGCACAGAAACCGUAGACGAGGACGACCAGCUGGAAAUGAGGCCAGUGAUUCUGAUAUGGAACCUGCAAAAUCCAGAAAGAACCAGGAAAAUCAGAAAUCCAAGGAAGAUGAUGAAGAAGAGGAAGAUGAGAAAGGGGGUAAAAGUGGGAAGGGUAAAAAUGAGAAGGAAGUGGACAAAAAGGCUGAUAAAAAAGGGAAAAAAGAAAAGGCCAACAAGAAGAAAAAAGACAAAAAGAAAUCAGGAUCAGGCUCUGAUUCUGAAUCUGAGGAGGAACCAAUUACAGAGGAGGAACUGGCCAAGCUGAAAGAAGAGGUAGAAGAAAAAAAGAAACUCAUUGCCACACUACGAAACAAGCCAUGGAAGAUGAAAAAGAAGUUGUCUGUCCUUAAGGAAGCACAGCUUUUUGUUGAAAAGUUUGAAGGUGCUCUUGGGAAAGGAAAAGGAAAAAAAUUCUAUGCAUACAAAGUGAUGAUGACCAAGAAAUGGAUGAAAUUUCAAAGAGAUUUUGAAAAUUUUAAGACAGCCUGCAUACCCUGGGAAAUGAAAAUUAAGGAGAUUGAAAGUCACUUUGGCUCAUCAGUAGCAUCUUAUUUCAUAUUCUUGCGUUGGAUGUAUGGAAUAAACAUGAUUCUCUUUGGACUGACCUUUGGUCUUGUAAUGGUGCCUGAGGCUUUGAUGGGUAAGCCAUAUGGCUCUUUGCCUAGAAAAACUGUCCCAAGAGCUGAAGAAGCAACUGCUAUGAAUUUUGCUACUCUCUGGGAUUUUAGUGGCUUUGCACAGUAUUCUGUACUCUUUUAUGGUUAUUACAAUAACCAGAGGACAAUUGGGUGGCUCAAGUUCAGGAUGCCUCUUUCAUAUUUCCUUGUUGGAGUUGGGUCUAUUGGCUAUAGCUUUAUGAUUGUCACUCGAACAAUGGCAAAGAAUGCAAAUGACGAUGGUGGUGGGGAUGACACUAGUUUUAACUUCAGCUGGAAAAUGUUCACAAGCUGGGACUACUUGAUUGGCAAUCCUGAGACAGCAGAUAAUAAGUUUGCCUCCAUCACAACAAGCUUUAAGGAAGCAAUCGUGGAGGAGCAGGAGAGCCGAAAAGAAGAAAAUAUUCAUUUGACUCGAUUCCUGAGGGUACUUGCUAACUUCUUAGCCCUAUGCACACUUGCUGGAAGUGGCUACCUCAUCUUUUUUGUUGUCAGAAGAUCCCAGCAAUUUGCCUUGGAAGGUCUGGAGAACUACGGGUGGUGGGAAAGAAAUGAAGUGAACACAGUUAUGUCACUUUUGGGAAUGUUCUGUCCGACUUUAUUUGAUGUAAUCAGUUCUCUGGAAAAUUACCACCCUCGAAUAGCUCUGAGAUGGCAGCUGGGAAGAAUCUUUGCUCUUUUUCUUGGCAAUCUCUACACUUUCAUUAUCGCCCUAAUGGAUGAGAUCAACCUCAAGUUGGAAGAAGAAAAGAUAGUCAAAUAUAACAUGACAAUAUGGGAAGCCAGUCUGUACAAUGGCACUAUUCCAGAGAAUUCAACUGCUCCUCCAAUACAGGUGGACCCUGCUGAUGUCCCCAGAGGGCCAUGUUGGGAAACAAUGGUGGGACAGGAAUUUGUGCGCCUGACAGUCUCUGACAUGAUGACAACAUACAUCACAAUUUUAAUUGGUGAUUUUUUGAGAGCCGUCUUUGUCAGGUUUUUCAAUUACUGCUGGUGCUGGGACUUGGAGUAUGGAUUUCCAUCAUAUUCUGAGUUUGAUAUAAGUGGAAAUGUGCUGGGACUGAUCUUUAACCAAGGCAUGAUCUGGAUGGGAUCUUUUUAUGCUCCAUGUCUCCCAGCAAUCAAUGUGUUCCGCCUCCACACAUCGAUGUACCUGCAGUGCUGGGCAGUGAUGUGCUGCAAUGUCCCCCAAGAACGGGUCUUCAAGGCUUCCAGAUCCAAUAACUUCUACAUGGCCAUGCUGCUUUUCAUCCUUUUCCUCUCCACACUGCCUGCUGUGUACACCAUUGUCUCCAUCCCUCCAUCUUUUGACUGUGGUCCUUUCAGUGGGAAGACUAGAAUGUAUGAAGUCAUAUCAGAAACUCUGGAGCACGACUUCCCUUCCUGGUUUGGGAAGGUAUUUGGUUAUGCCUCUAACCCUGGACUUAUCCUACCUUUUAUAUUGCUUAUGGUGUACGGUAAGGACACUAAAAAUAAGGGAGAAGAAAAAAAGAAAGAGGGAAAAUACAAGGCAAAAUCAGGCAAAGCAGAGGAAACAGCAUAUGCUGAUUAG